rnacentral:rRNA from 1 species
GUAUCCUACGGGACGCAGCAGUGAGGAAUAUUGGUCAAUGGGCGGGAGCCUGAACCAGCCAAGUCGCGUGAAGGAAGAAGGUACUUAGUAUUGUAAACUUCUUUUGUCGGGGAACAAAGGCGGAGACGCGUCUCCGGAUGAGUGUACCCGAAGAAAAAGCAUCGGCUAACUCCGUGCCAGCAGCCGCGGUAAUACGGAGGAUGCGAGCGUUAUCCGGAUUUAUUGGGUUUAAAGGGUGCGCAGGCGGGAGUUCAAGUCAGCGGGAAAAUGUCGGGGCUCAAACCGCGCCGGCCGGUGAAACUGGG